rnacentral:rRNA from 1 species
GAGGAAUAUUGGUCAAUGGACGAGAGUCUGAACCAGCCAAGUAGCGUGCAGGAUGACGGCCCUAUGGGUUGUAAACUGCUUUUGUAUGGGGAUAAAGUCAAUCACGUGUGAUUGUUUGCAGGUACCAUACGAAUAAGGACCGGCUAAUUCCGUGCCAGCAGCCGCGGUAAUACGGAAGGUCCGGGCGUUAUCCGGAUUUAUUGGGUUUAAAGGGAGCGUAGGCCGGAGAUUAAGUGUGUUGUGAAAUGUAGACGCUCAACGUCUGACUUGCAGCGCAUACUGGUUUUCUUGAGUACGCACAACGUUGGCGGAAUUCGUCGUGUAGCGGCGAAAUGCUUAGAUAUGACGAAGAACUCCGAUUGCGAAGGCAGCUGACGGGAGCGCAACUGACGCUUAAGCUCGAAGGUGCGGGUAUCGAACAGGAUUAGAUACCCUGGUAGUCCGCACAGUAAACGAUGGAUGCCCGCUGUUGGUACCUGGUAUCAGCGGCUAAGCGAAAGCAUUAAGCAUCCCACCUGGGGAGUACGCCGGCAACGGUG